AAGAAAGGUCUGGGACUAAAAGAAACUGCUAACUUCUUUACCCGUAGUUCAAAUCCACGGCUUUCUUA
rnacentral:tRNA from 1 species